AUUCUGCCGCGUGUGUUUCCGGGAUUCUUGAUGUUUCUUCUGAGCUCCAGGGUCAGGCAGUAUGAUUGAUGUUUCUAAGCCAGCAUCCUUGGAACAAAGUAGCUUUUGAGGUAAUAAGGAGUAGUUCAUAAGAACCCACGUGGAAGGUCACACUUCUGAUCUGAGACCUUUCAGCAGAGCCUGAGGGCAGAGUGGAAAAGGCCAGGAAAGAACAUGUCCGGAACUGCCUCCUCACUGAAGACAUUCUUGCUGCUCCUGUACACUUUACCUUUAUAAUUCUCUUCCAUUCUCCAUGAGUAACAAGAAACGAACGGACCUCAGAUAAUAAUAUACAAGUGUGUGAUUUGAAGCUGUGUUCAUUGUGAGGAUUUCCCCAUCACCACCAUCUUUCAGUGACAUUCCUGAGUGGAAUUUUAGUGGACAUGGAAGACACCAAUGUGAGAGAACCAGGCCCAGGAUUCUCCUCUUAUACUCUGUCACAGUGAAUACAUGGAGUAUUCAUUGUUGACUGAGAGAGAAAGAUCUUUAUUGAACUCUCUACAUGAAUUGAAGUAGAGGUAGUCAUAUGACAGAGUGGUGUGGGACAUAGUACUAGAGGCAAGACCACAGCUGGUGGAAUGGUGAUUGGCUGCACAUACUCCUGGUAGAUUGACUUCAUUGAAUUCUUCAGUUCACGUGUCUCGAAUGGUCCCCAACAACUGUGCUCUGCGCGUUUUGCAAUCUCUUGCAGUGCUUCCCUGCGCUUCUGUUCCUUACAGAGACGCCCCGGAACCUUCAGGUCUGUACACCGCUUCGGGAGCGGGUUCAGCCCGAGUGGGACAGGCAGUCUAGCUGAGGAGAUCUGGGCUAGGUUCAGGGUCCCGCGCGGCUCGGGGGCAGUGGGAGCGGGGGCGGGGCGUCCCUGUGAGUCAGAGGGUGGGCACGUGCGCGCGUGUCCAGGCCCCGAGCGGGGUGUGCACCUUGGCCCUGGAAGGGCGCCAGCUUUGCUUCCAGGCUGAGCUGGGUGUGAAUUGGUCCCUACGGCCAGAGGAUGGACCUGCGUGGGAUGAGGAGUCCUCACCUGUAGAGGGAUGCUGUUAAUAUGUCUACCAAGAAGUGUCGAAGACCAGGCUGCAAUGCAGUAAAGCAAGGCAUUUAUUGGGGUAUUAGGAAUUACAAUUCGGGAGACGCAUUGGGCUGGAAGCCAAAUUGUAUUCCAAAGAGAGGUAGGGGAACAGGGGGAAAAUCAGAAAGGAAGCCACGGGUGUUUACGCAAGUUCUGAAAGAAUUAUCCGUUGGUGGAAGCGGGUGACUUAGUACCUGAGUCCAUAGUUCAUUGGUUGUUACUGUUCAGGAGUUGCAACGCUGGCGAAAUUCAGCUGUUUUCCGGAAUUUUUGUGGUCGUUGCAGUUUGGCUCACUUCAAAGGUUCAAGGCAAGUUCCAUUUUUUUUUUUUUUUUCCUGCAGUUUUGUAGGAUGUACUGGCAGCCCUUAGAAUGACUUCCUACCUCCAGUUUAGAGCUCUCAGUCAGAGUAAGACCAUUUUGUAUAGCACAUCCCACUGAUAUGUGCCACGCGGAGUGGUUCUGAGUUUCACAUUUUUGGCAUAUGUAAAAAAUUGGCAGAGUUUAGUAGUUAACCUCAGCUGAUAAGGUAUUUGGAAAAUAGUUUGUUCUUCUCAUUAGCUCUUUCAUUUAGUCCUUACAACAAUCUUUAUGUGACUGUUUUCCGUCUUGACAAACAAGAAAACUGAGGUUCUGAGGGUUCAGGUGAAAUGGUCAAGGUCACAUGUCCAGGGUAGACCACCCUAUCUAAAACCAUCUUGUAUUCCUGAAAUCAUACUAAAGUGGGUGGGGGGCGGCUGAGUCUCACCUUGUAGUCAUGUAUUCUGGGGUUUCUCAGCAUCUUGAAGCCCUUGGGUCAGGCUGCAUGACUGUGUUGCUUGGACUCUUGCACUGUCCAACCUUCAGCAUAGUCAGUGCCUUCAGAGUUUAGACAAGGAAGUUCUCUGAGAUUUGGAACCCUGAGUGAAGCUUCUGAAUAAAAUGGUUUUGUCCUUUAAGCUCAGGUUUCAGCUCCUCGGAAGGAAGCAGUUCUUGUGAAGUAAGAAGAAGGGGCCUAGGAACAGGAAUCCCACCUUGAAGAUUGCUUCUCUAACAUGAACGUUGUCAGUCCAACUUCAGAGCAAAGGCAGGAAACUGCCAGAAAGGGCAGAGCCUGAUGGUUUGCACAGCCUGAAGUAAUUCUUCCUCCUGCUUAGAAUGAGUGAUUCUCUGUAAAUGUCAUCACAUCUGGAGGGUCUCCCCUCUAUGGUGAAAGGUUUGGACCAUGUUUCAGAAAAGAUAGGUGACUGGACUGAGUGGUGGCAAGGGGUAUGCUGGUGGAAAUAUUAAUCUUGGAGGGUUGGUGUGGGCAUGGUCUGCAGGCAGAGUUCACUGGGCAUAGCUGGAGGAGUUCUAGCUCUAGUCUUUAACCAACAUGUCCCACAUUCAAUCUCCAUGGUCUUUGUCCAGGUUCUGAGCUGCUUUCAUACCAUGUCCAUUGUGAUGUCCUCUAGAGAUGUGGUGUUGCCUUAUCUACCCUGAUCCUAUAGAGGUAGAGAAUAGGGGUGUCUGUGUCUGCAUGAUUACAAAGCUGAGAAACCGUGACUCUUGGAUGUAUAGGUAACCUGUCCAGACUCAUCCAGUUUGUAAAUGGCAGAGCAGGAAUAUAAAACACCCGUCCAUCUUAUAACAGAUAAGUCACCUGCCAGUUUCUGUUGCAACUGAGUUAGAAGCAAACAAUCUUAAAACAGAUCUUUCUCCAAAGCACUCCCAUCAUCUUCUGCAGCAUGAUUUCUUUAAGGGUUAGUAACUCAGUAGGAAUGUAAGUAAACAAAUAUCCUGAGUAUUUCACCUAUGGGAGUGAAUAUGGCAGGUAACAAUUUGUCUUCUGAUAUAAUAUUAUUUGUUGAAUUAGUCCUGGAUUAGUUCUGAAAGAAAAAUGAAAUUGACCGUUAGGAAGUGAACCCAGUGAAAAGUUGCAUAGCCAACUUCUAUGAGAUCUUGUCAGAUUUACACAUGUGAAUUCUCACUCAGCAUAGCUCUUGCUGUCUCCUCAAGAAACAAAGAAACUUUUUCCCAUAGAGGAGUGUUUAACCAGUUGGUGGGCAGCAGUUUUUAGGAAGCCUCAAAGGUCCAUAGCAGGCCAGAUUUCACAUGACCACCCCUGUGUUUUUCUCCUGUAACUGUACAUUCAGCUUCCCCUGCACUUUCCCAAGAG